GGUCGACUGGUGUAGUGGUUAUCACGUCUCGUUCACACUUACCGAGAAGGUGCCAGGUUCGAUCCCUGGGUCGAUCA